rnacentral:snoRNA from 1 species
UCACAGUGAUGAAUGGUCCAAACAUUCGCGGUUUCCACCAGAAUAACAAAUGUUGGCAGCUAGCUUCCUUCCUUGGAUGUCUGAGUGA